rnacentral:tRNA from 1 species
GUAUAGUUCAGUGGUUGAGUGUAUGCUUAGCAUGCAUGGAGUCCUGGGUUCCAUCCCCAGUAC